GACGAACGCUGGCGGCGUGCUUAACACAUGCAAGUCGAACGGAAAGGCCACUUUCGGGGGGUACUCGAGUGGCGAACGGGUGAGUAACACGUGAGUAACCUGCCCUUGACUUUGGGAUAACUUCAGGAAACUGGGGCUGAUACCGGAUAGGAGCUCCUGCUGCAUGGUGGGGGUUGGAAAGUUUCGGCGGUUGGGGAUGGACUCGCGGCUUAUCAGCUUGUUGGUGGGGUAGUGGCUUACCAAGGCUUUGACGGGUAGCCGGCCUGAGAGGGUGACCGGCCACAUUGGGACUGAGAUACGGCCCAGACUCCUACGGGAGGCAGCAGUGGGGAAUAUUGCACAAUGGGUGGAAGCCUGAUGCAGCAACGCCGUGGGCGGGAGGACGGCCUUCGGGUUGUAAACCGCUUUCGCUCAUGACGAAGCUUUGCGUGACGGUAGUGGGUAAAGAAGCACCGGCUAACUACGUG
rnacentral:rRNA from 1 species